UGUGAAUCUGUAGUACGGUAGAUAGUAAAUGAUAAAUAAACACUCAAACCGUUUCUGCUACUAUCUACGUGUAAUUACUUACAGCGAAUGUCGCCGGAAUGUGGACACCUUUCCUAUUCCUAUUACCGGUGAUUCCCAGGUAUCUGUCACGGAUCGGAUUGGCAACAGCUACGAAAUAAUCUUGGUUCUUACCGUAUUGCUGAUAAUUACAACCGAUUUUUGGAAGUAUUCUCGCCCCGAAUUCACUACAAUUUCAAUAAAAUAACGCACCUUUGCACAACUCAA